CAGCCGCCGCGGUAAUACGAAGGGUGCAAGCGUUAAUCGGAAUUACUGGGCGUAAAGCGUGCGUAGGCGGUUUGUUAAGUCUGUUGUGAAAUCCCCGGGCUCAACCUGGGAAUGGCAAUGGAUACUGGCAAGCUAGAGUGUGUCAGAGGAUGGUGGAAUUCCCGGUGUAGCGGUGAAAUGCGUAGAGAUCGGGAGGAACAUCAGUGGCGAAGGCGGCCAUCUGGGACAACACUGACGCUGAGGCACGAAAGCGUGGGGAGCAAACAGGAUUAGAGACCCCCGUAGUCCCUGUCUCUUAACA
rnacentral:rRNA from 1 species